CCUUAGCAAACCUGCCCCUCAGUCUGCCCCUGAGCAACAACUUUGCGCAUGCCCAUUUCAACGCAUCGCUCAAACUGGGGUUUCAGAAGAGAUUUUGCAGGGGUUCAACACCGUCUUGUACGCAUUGGAUUUCAACUGGAAAUUAGCUACUUCAAAAGAUUAUCCUACCACCGUCACACGGCCUAGCACUGUGUCCCUGGGAAAUGAUGAUUCCAUACCCCUAGAUGUCAACUCUGGUCUGGUGGAGGUGAACCAAUUGGGGGCCCAGGAAAACAGCUGGCAGCCAGGCAAGUGCAAAUAUAAGACACUCAAAAAAAUAUAUGCUUUGUAUACAACCAUUCAAGGUAACAUUUGUUAUUUACAUCAAUGUUACAGCUAAUCUAGAAGAACCAGUGUAUGCCAAUCAUGCUAACUCUUGUAAACUUGUUUUACUUGUCUUUAAUGACAGACACAUUACAGGUUAUGCUCCGGAAGAUGGAGACAUUGGAGGAGAACCAGCGAGAGGCUCUCCUAUUCAGGCGACUACAGGGCAGACACACUGAAGAGGUGCCAGUGAUGGACCUACAGGUGGCCCAAACACAGGCUGAACUCCAAGACCUUGAGGAGCGCCUUAAGGUGCUGGAGUUGCGAAAGAGAGUGACGCUGUGAUGAAGUGGAAGACGGGACUGGGAGAGAAAGCUGUGGAGCUCCUCAUAGAGGAGACACUCAAACACACCCCGGCAGCCCAUUCAAAACAAGCCAGGUGAAUGAAUCAUGAU